rnacentral:lncRNA from 1 species
ACAGUUGGAAGUAUCGCAUUCCUGAGCCUCCUGCUGGUCUGGACUGGAAGUUCUUUCUGAUGUCUGCUUGAUGCUGGGAGACGGUGCUGGAGGAGCAGCACAGGACGAGGAAGGGCUUCUCUUGCAGGCUCCUCAGUGAGGUGUCCCGCAGCAUCCAGCCUCCUGCAGCAGCCCAGAGAGUGGCCUGCCAGAGAGUUCCACCCACACCGGCACUUCAGCAAACUUUCCUGCAGCCAGGGCGCCUCGGCUGUACCAUCUCUAACAAGGGCCAAUGCUGCUCCCCAAGCUGGGACCCUCAGAGCCACACCAUGGCGGCUUGGAAGGUGGCAGGGCUGCAGAAGAGGCUGUGGAGGAACUUGGAGCGUGACUCCAAAGGACGACAAGCAGAGGAACCCUGGGCAUGUCAAGCCUCCCCUGUGCCCCUUUACCACCCCGUACCAGGGCCCUGCUUCUCCUGCAGGCUCUGAAUAAGCCUCCAAGUUGCCGCCAGAUUGCCCAGCACCCAGAUGACUUUCCAGCAAAGAAACUUAAGGAUGCAUAGUCCUUCAGGAUGGAUUUCUGCCUUUGCCCCAUGAAAUCUCCCGAGAUACAGACCCCAGAGCAUGGACCUCUCUUAGGAAUGUCCUCCAUUGCCUCCAGGUCCCUACAGGUCUCAGGUCAGAGGCAAGACAUCCAGGACAUCUAAUGCUCCAUCUAUGCCACCUGUGCCAGGCCUCUGAAGGUCACCCCUUCAAGAAAGCACCAGCCUGAGUCAGGGGGCCCGAGCUCCAGCCCUGCUCAGAAUGCCACUGCUCUCUCUGCUUCAGUCGUCUCACCCAGAAGUGAGGCCACCUCCAGAGUUGGGGCCAGGAUCAGAUGGGAUGAUGCAGGUGCAGGCGCCUUGUAAAGAGUGCAGGCUGCUGUUUGCUGACCACUCAUGCCGUGCCAUGCCCUGUGCUGAGUGCUUAAGUGUGUAAUCUCAUUUUGUCUUCACAAGAAUCUUCCAGGAGAGUCUAUUGUCAUUUCAUCUAAAGAGAAGGGAUCAAAGCUCAGGGAGGCCAUGGAACUGCCUAAAGGCACACAGCGGCCGAGACCUCAAAUCCCUGUUCUUAACCCUGUUCACACUGUGUUGUCAGGUGCUAGUCUGAGUUUUGUUAAAGGUACCUUUGAAGAACUAUUGAUAUGGUUAGGCUUUGUGUCCCCACCCAAAUCUCAUCUUGAAUUGUAAUCCCCGUAAUCCCCACAUGUCAAGGAGAAAACAGGUGGAGGUAACUGAAUAGUGGGAUCAGUUUCCCCCAUGCUGGUAUCAUGAUAAUGAGUUCUUAUGAGAUCUGAUGGUUUUAUAAGGGGCUCUUCCCCUUGGCUGAGCUUCUUCUUCCUGCCACCUUGUGAAGAAGGUGCUUGCUUCCCCUUCACCUUCCACCACGAUUGUAAGUUUCCUGAGGCCUCCCCAGCCAUGCGGAACUGUGAGGCAGUUAAGCCUCUUUCCUUUAUAAAUUACCCAGUCUUGGACAGUUCUUUAUAGCAGUAUGAAAAUGGACUAAUACAAUUAUCACCCCAAGAGAUAAGUGCAGGAGGAAUUUCAGGCUGUGCAUGUGUGGAGGAGACACGGGGUUGAGGAGAGCUUCUAGAAUUCCUCAAAUGACAAUAAUAGUGGCCAACUUGUGCAGGCUGUGUGCUAACCUGCACACAGUUAGCCUGCACAGGUUAGCCACUAUUAUUGUCAUUUGCUAGCCACUCUGAUGCUGUGGCUGACUAUGUGCAGGACUCUGCUAAAUUCUUUCUCUUGUUAACUCAUUUAAUACUUACCAUCCUCUAAGACAGGUACUGUUAUCAUCUCCAGUGUGCAGAUGGAAAAGCUGAGGCACAGAGAGGUGGCUUAAGGCAUUCAAAGGCAUGUGACUAGUUAGCCUCUGCCCCUUACAGCCUCAGCCACGACACCGAGGGAGCUACUUCUCCUCCCACUGACUCCUCUUCCUGAACCAGAAUGUACCUUGUGGGAGUUGUGGGACAAGGAAUAAAUGGGGGGCUAAUUGUCAGAAUAAGAACCCCAGACCCAGGACCCACAGUGAGGAUGGGGAUGUCUCUGCCCUGACUUUCAGGUCAAAAUCACCUUCUCUGUCUAUCACACCCCUCUCCCCCGACACCCAACAUAACACCUAUAGUCCAUGCUGUUCAAGGCUGUGGUGCUGAAGGAGGGGGUGUGGACUGGGUACCCUGGGACACAGGGCUGCUUGGCUGUUAGUCUCCUGGUUCCUCCCACCCCACCCCGGAGCCUCCCAAUCUCCCUCUUGAGUGUGUCCCAUCUCUGGCUCUCUGUGCCAGUUGCCCUUGUUUCCCUUACCCCCAUCCAUCCCUUUUCCUGGCACCAAGCUUCAGAUUGCAGGGUCACCUCAGCCACUGGACAGUCACAGGGAGCCAAGGACAAAAGGACCAGUGACAUCACUUGGGAAUGAGACCAGGAAGUUCAAGCCUGGCUGACGGGGCCAGGGAGGGGAGAGCUAACCAGGAGAUGACAGGUUCACCAACCUGUCAACAAGAGUGUAUCUAGACCCAGCAAUGCUAGGCUGUGGCUGAGCAAGUCACAUGGACUGUUAACCAAGGGGUCUAUCGGGGCAGCAGCAGCAAGGGACCUCCCCUGUAAUGCAAGACUUCUGUCACCUCAAGCUUCUUCUCCA